rnacentral:rRNA from 1 species
UACGUAGGGACCAAGUGUUGUUCGGAUUUACUGGGCGUAAAGGGCGCGUAGGCGGCGAUGUAAGUCACUUGUGAAAUCUCUGAGCUUAACUCAGAACGGCCAAGUGAUACUGCAUUGCUAGAGUGCAGAAAGGGCAAUCGGAAUUCUUGGUGUAGCGGUGAAAUGCGUAGAUAUCAAGAGGAACACCUGAGGCGAAGGCGGGUUGCUUGUCUGACACUGACGCUGGAGGCGCGAAAGCCAGGGGAGCAAACGGG